rnacentral:lncRNA from 1 species
AAUUGAUGAAAUCGAAUCGAAAUCCGCUAAGUUGCGAUUCCCAAUUCUGUUGUUCUGUCAAACUUCUCAUCGAAAUUGGUUGUAGCUCAUCGGAUAAGCCACCACCGUCCCGAAAUCCUCCAUAAGUGGCCAUUCGACUUGAUUCCGGUGAAGCCUAGCUGUAAAUCGAGUUCGGAUUUGUCCUUUUUUUGUGAUUUUUUGUUUCGGGUCAACGAAAAAAAUAGAACAGAAGGGGAGUAUAUCGAAGUUGGGAUUUGGUCGUUGUUGAGGUACGAUGUUGAGGUUCCAUUGGUUCGCAAGCUCCGAUCGAUCGCAAGUUGUUCGGAAUAAAGUCGUCAAUUGAGGUCCAACUCUAUUCUUUUCCUCUUUUAUUUUUACGAUACUUCAUAUAUGAGAUUGAGUAUUUGUGUGUUGUGUGAUCUUUGUUGGUGGUGAAUAAUCACUUAUGUUGAUAGGUUGUUGAUUCUUUUGGUUACGAAUUGUAUGUGAGGUAAAUGAUGAACAUUGAGUUUACGGGGUUAUGGAUUGUUGGAAAUAGUAGCAUGAAUUGUUAUGUUUGAAUCUUGAUUUAAAAUUAGAUAAUUAGAUUUGGGUGGGAUUGAGAAUUGAAAAUGGACAGAAAGUAAACAUGAUUUGUUCGUAUUGAUUAAUUGAUGUUUGUUUGAUGCAAAAUAGCCGUCAAAUUUGCUAAGUUUGAUAAUAUCACGUUCUAGAUCGAAACUAGUAGGCAAAUGCUAGAUGGGGUAGGCAAAUAGGAAUGGUAUUUUGUUGAAUGUUUGAAUGUGCGUGUGAACGUUUCUUUCCACUUUAUCACAUAAGAUUUGAUGAUAUAUUCAUUCGCCAGGGAAUGCCCCAAGAUUAUACUGUACUUAUUCACCGGGGAAUGCCCCGAGAUUAUAUUGUACUUAUUCAUCGGGGAAUGUCCCGAAGUAUUUUGUACUCGGAAGAAGUCCGUGAUGAAGGCCCCAGGCAUCGGGUAAAGCAUUGGAGCGUAGUUUAGGAUUAGUGUGGUUAGCGUAGGUUUACAUUUUCGCAUUUUUCUAUUUUGGGACUGUAUAAUUAGACUGGACAUUAUAUUCUUUGAUAUUCAUUUUAUUUGUGUUUGUUUGUUUAAUUGUUGUGUGUAUAUGUGGUUUAUAUAUUCUUAGUGUCAAAAUUAGUCGAUACGCUCCACCAAGCGACCGUGGUCGAACCACGGGAUCGAGGGUGCCUAACACCUUCCCUUCGGUCAACAGAAUUCCUUAGUCGAAAUUUCUGCUUGCAAACUAGUUUUAAACAGUCAAAUCAUUUUGAAAAAGAUUUUCCAAAGGUGACUUGGCACAUCGAAUUAUGCCAAGUGGCGACCCUGAGUUUAAAUGUAAAAAAUCCUUUUUCGAAACAAAUUUUUCUUCUUCUCACUUAAUAAUAAAAACCCUUUCGAACAUAAAAUCUAAUCUUUUGGUUAAAAUAGGGGUGUGACAGCAAUUACACUAAUAUACAACAAUGUAUGGUUACAUUAAUAUCAACAAUAUUUACAACAUACUAACACAAAUAAUGCAAUUUGCUUCCUACUAAAAUUAUUAGUUGAGAAAUAAAGGGGUUUAGAAAAUGCCAUCCCCAUGUACAAAAUUAUAUCAAAAAAAUCUUUUAAUCAAUUGGAUAAACAUUGGGAAAAAAUCAAAUACAAUUCAAUAGGACAAACUUUCGGAAGAGGAAAAAACAAAUAAAUGAACAAGCAUUGAACCAUCCUUGCCGCUUUUUAGGAUCGACAAGUGGAAAUAAUAUUGAAACUUUCUCAAAUUUCUCAAAG